rnacentral:tRNA from 1 species
GCCAUCGUGGCGCAGCGGCACUGCGUCAGACUGUAAAAAUGAUGAUUGUGUGUUCAAUUUCCACUUGGGGUA